rnacentral:rRNA from 1 species
UACAGGGGGUGCAAGCGUUGUUCGGAAUCACUGGGCGUAAAGGGAGCGUAGGCGGAACUACAAGACAGAGGUUAAAGACCCGGGCUCAACCUGGAGACUGCCUUUGUGACUGUGGUUCUUGAGUAUGGUAGAGGUCAGCGGAAUUUCCGGUGUAGCGGUGGAAUGCGUAGAGAUCGGAAAGAACACCAGAGGCGAAGGCGGCUGACUGGACCAAUACUGACGCUGAGGCUCGAAAGCGUGGGGAGCAAACAGG